rnacentral:rRNA from 1 species
GACAGAGGGUGCAAACGUUGUUCGGAUUUACUGGGCGUAAAGCGCGUGUAGGCGGCUUCGUAAGUUGGAUGUGAAAUCCCACGGCUCAACCGUGGACGUGCAUCCAAAGCUACGUCGCUGGAGUCUCGGAGAGGAAGGUGGAAUGCUUGGUGUAGAGGUGAAAUUCGUAGAUAUUAGGAAGAACACCAGUGGCGAAGGCGGCUCACUGGCCCGGUACUGACGCUGAGGCGCGAAAGCGUGGGGAGCAAACAGG